GACGAACGCUGGCGGCGUGCUUAACACAUGCAAGUCGAACGGAAAGGCCCUGCUUUUGUGGGGUGCUCGAGUGGCGAACGGGUGAGUAACACGUGAGUAACCUGCCCUUGACUUUGGGAUAACUUCAGGAAACUGGGGCUAAUACCGGAUAGGAGCUCCUGCUGCAUGGUGGGGGUUGGAAAGUUUCGGCGGUUGGGGAUGGACUCGCGGCUUAUCAGCUUGUUGGUGGGGUAGUGGCUUACCAAGGCUUUGACGGGUAGCCGGCCUGAGAGGGUGACCGGCCACAUUGGGACUGGGCUACGGCCCAGACUCCUCCGGGAGGCAGCAGUGGGGAAUAUUGCACAAUGGGCUGAAGCCUGAUGCAGCCACGCCGCGUGCGGGAUGACGGCCUUCGGGUUGUAAACCGCUUUCGCCUGUGACGAAGCGUGAGUGACGGUAAUGGGUAAAGAAGCACCGGCUAACUACGUG
rnacentral:rRNA from 1 species